rnacentral:sRNA from 1 species
UCACGAUGAGUUUUACAGCCUAUGUGCAGUAUUGAUGCCACUGAAUAAGCAUUUAUUUUUGAUGAAGAUACAACUUUUCUCCUCACGUUCAGUUGAGAGUUUGCAACAAAAUUCAAUUCGUCAUAAUCUGUCCCUACACAGCAAGUUCAUUCGUGUGCAGAAUGAAGGAACUGGAAAAAGUUCUUGGUGGAUGCUCAAUCCAGAGGGUGGCAAGAGCGGGAAAUCUCCUAGGAGAAGAGCUGCAUCCAUGGACAACAACAGUAAAUUUGCUAAGAGCCGAAGCCGAGCUGCCAAGAAGAAAGCAUCUCUCCAGUCUGGCCAGGAGGGUGCUGGGGACAGCCCUGGAUCACAGUUUUCCAAAUGGCCUGCAAGCCCUGGCUCUCACAGCAAUGAUGACUUUGAUAACUGGAGUACAUUUCGCCCUCGAACUAGCUCAAAUGCUAGUACUAUUAGUGGGAGACUCUCACCCAUUAUGACCGAACAGGAUGAUCUUGGAGAAGGGGAUGUGCAUUCUAUGGUGUACCCGCCAUCUGCCGCAAAGAUGGCCUCUACUUUACCCAGUCUGUCUGAGAUAAGCAAUCCCGAAAACAUGGAAAAUCUUUUGGAUAAUCUCAACCUUCUCUCAUCACCAACAUCAUUAACUGUUUCGACCCAGUCCUCACCUGGCACCAUGAUGCAGCAGACGCCGUGCUACUCGUUUGCGCCACCAAACACCAGUUUGAAUUCACCCAGCCCAAACUACCAAAAAUAUACAUAUGGCCAAUCCAGCAUGAGCCCUUUGCCCCAGAUGCCUAUACAAACACUUCAGGACAAUAAGUCGAGUUAUGGAGGUAUGAGUCAGUAUAACUGUGCGCCUGGACUCUUGAAGGAGUUGCUGACUUCUGACUCUCCUCCCCAUAAUGACAUUAUGACACCAGUUGAUCCUGGGGUAGCCCAGCCCAACAGCCGGGUUCUGGGCCAGAAUGUCAUGAUGGGCCCUAAUUCGGUCAUGUCAACCUAUGGCAGCCAGGCAUCUCAUAACAAAAUGAUGAAUCCCAGCUCCCAUACCCACCCUGGACAUGCUCAGCAGACAUCUGCAGUUAACGGGCGUCCCCUGCCCCACACGGUAAGCACCAUGCCCCACACCUCGGGUAUGAACCGCCUGACCCAAGUGAAGACACCUGUACAAGUGCCUCUGCCCCACCCCAUGCAGAUGAGUGCCCUGGGGGGCUACUCCUCCGUGAGCAGCUGCAAUGGCUAUGGCAGAAUGGGCCUUCUCCACCAGGAGAAGCUCCCAAGUGACUUGGAUGGCAUGUUCAUUGAGCGCUUAGACUGUGACAUGGAAUCCAUCAUUCGGAAUGACCUCAUGGAUGGAGAUACAUUGGAUUUUAACUUUGACAAUGUGUUGCCCAACCAAAGCUUCCCGCACAGUGUCAAGACAACGACACAUAGCUGGGUGUCAGGCUGAGGGUUAGUGAGCAGGCUGGAGCGCAAUGGCACGAUCUCGGCUAACUGCAACCUCUGCCUGCCUCCCAGGUUCAAGCAAUUCUCCUGCCUCAGCCUCCCAAGUAGCUGGGAUUACAGCAAACAAUGGGCUAUUGACUAAGCUUUCAGAGCUGUGGGUGUUCUCAGAGGGAGGCCAGCCAGAACACCAGCAUCUCCGGCUUUUCUUCCAACUCCCAAGUUGGAGCUCCAUCUAUCAGAAAUAUGAAACCCUGGAAUCUUCCUCCUCCUCACUUCUCUGCCUUAAGGUGCAGGCAGCUGGGGAAGAGAACAUUGUGCCCAGGGAGAGUA